CAAAUCUGUUAUGGUUGCCGCCA
rnacentral:siRNA from 1 species